UGGGGACUGAGGCCAUCUGUCCGGCAGCUCUUUGGCCCUCGGUUAUUCGGCUCCAGUCUCAGUUCUGACAAGUGCCCAGAAACAUGAGGUCCCUGAUUUCUCUCAGUCUGCUGCUGGCUGUCUUCUCCCGUGUCCAGGCCGAGGUGGUGCUGACACAGCCGCCGUCUCUAACCGGGAAACCUGGCCAUCCCCUGAGACUGACCUGUAAAACCAGUGGGUUUAAUCUCGGCAGCUACUGGAUGAGCUGGGUCCGGCAGGUUCCCGGGAAGGGGCGGGAAUGGCUCCUCAGUUAUUACAGCUCAUCCUACAAAGCUUUCGCGCCUGGGAUUGAAGACCGUGUCACUGUCAUCAAAGAGAAUUCCAAUAACAUCUUCGAUUUGAUCAUCAAAAGCCCGAGAGUGGACGACACCGCCAUCUAUUACUGUGCGAGAGGGUCACAAAUCGCAAUGCGCAAACCGACCACUGCUAUCUGCUUCAUAUACGGUUUCCGUCCGGACAGUCUCAGGGUUGAGUGGCUGAAGGACUGGCAGCCCAUACACUCAGGUGUUGUGACCUCUCCCUCGGUUGAAAACAAUGGGACAUUCAGCACCAGCAGCCGUCUGACUGUCACCGCCAGAGAGGGGAAGAGCGACUCGGUUUACACCUGCAAGGUGACCCAUCAGCCCUCCCACACCAUCACUGUCAAGAACAUCACCAAGUACCCAGAUUGUGAUCCUCCUGAACCUGUCAAGGUCUCUUUCCUGCCGCCUUCACCGAAACAGGUUUUGAUGGAACCCAUUGUAACGCUGACAUGUGUCGUGGCGAAUGCACCACAUGACGUCAACGUGACUUGGACACAAGAACAGACACAUUUACAGUCUGGAUAUGGAAAACCAUCUGCCACUGGGCCUCAGGAACUGAUCAGUAAACUAAACAUUUCUACACAAGACUGGACCGGUGGGAAAGUAUACUUCUGCAUUGUCAGCCAUGACGAUAUACCGACUCCCAUCAGAAAAAAGAUAUUUAAGGAGCCCGGUGAGCAUCCAAGUUCAGGAAAUAAACAAUUUAUUUGUUUAUUGUAAUUUCAUAAUAUAGGC